UACGUAGGGUGCAAGCGUUGUCCGGAAUUAUUGGGCGUAAAGAGCUCGUAGGCGGUCUGUCGCGUCUGCUGUGAAACUCGGGGCUUAACCCGGGCCUGCAGUGGGUACGGGCAGACUAGAGUGCGGUAGGGGAGACUGGAAUUCCUGGUGUAGCGGUGAAAUGCGCAGAUAUCAGGAGGAACACCGGUGGCGAAGGCGGGUCUCUGGACAGUUCCUGACGCUGAGGCACGAAGGUCAGGGGAGCAAACGGG
rnacentral:rRNA from 1 species